GGAGGAUGCGAGCGUUAUCCGGAUUUAUUGGGUUUAAAGGGAGCGCAGACGGGUCGUUAAGUCAGCUGUGAAAGUUUGGGGCUCAACCUUAAAAUUGCAGUUGAUACUGGCGUCCUUGAGUGCGGUUGAGGUGUGCGGAAUUCGUGGUGUAGCGGUGAAAUGCUUAGAUAUCACGAAGAACUCCGAUUGCGAAGGCAGCCUGCUAAGCUGCAACUGACAUUGAGGCUCGAAAGUGUGGGUAUCAAACAGGAUUAGAUACCCUGGUAGUCCACACGGUAAACGAUGAAUACUCGCUGUUUGCGAUAUACAGCAAGCGGCCAAGCGAAAGCGUUAAGUAUUCCACCUGGGGAGU
rnacentral:rRNA from 1 species